GUCCUCGUACGUUUCUCUAUAACGUUGAUGUUGUUGUCGUUGCCGUUGUCAUUGUCGUUAUUGUUGUUGUCCUCGUCGUAGUCGUAGUCGUAGUCGUGUGGCCCACAUGUCAACUUCUCGACAAUGCCAUAUAGCAGAAAACAUUCGAAGCACGUGUUCUUCGCGUUGAAAGUAAUGAUAUUCGCGGAAGAAAGAACAAGUUCUCAACUUCUCUCAGAGUCAUCUAAGAUAUUAUCCUUUUACUAUAUAUAUAUAUAUAUAUAUAUAUAUAUAUAUAUAUAUAUAUAUAUAUAUACAUUUUUUUUAAAGGAAAAUAAUACAAGAUGUUUCAUAAGUAAAUAUUCCACAUCAUUGAAACUUCCGAUUAAACCAGAAACAACAUGGCGAUAACCGAUAGAGGAUAUUUUCAAGAAUUCAUAUAGCGUCGUAUAGCGUCGUAACAAUUCGUCUCGUUUCGUUUGUCAUUUCGUGUCAUCUAGCAAUUUAUAAUAAUACGCGCUGGUUUCGAAUUAGAUAUGUAUUUAAAUACUUAUAUACCUUAUAUUCACUCCCACCGGUUAAAUAUCGAUGAGUGAUUGCGGGACGAGAAAAAAAGUGGGGGAAUGUGUGUGUGUGUGUGUGUAAAUAUGUAUGUAUGUAUAUACGUAUAGAUAUGUACGAGUCGCGAGCUCUUACGUAAAUGUUACUUUUUGUUAGUUACCCUCUUUCUUAUGUCAGUUAAUUCGCUUGAUACGGGACGAGUUAUCGAUCGGCGUUACGUAAUAUCUAUGUAAAUAUAUACGUGAUACAUGGUCAAGAGGGGGUGGGUCCAGGAAUGGUUAAGAGGAUAUUAAAAACCGAUAACGAGGGUCAAUCACUUUCCAAUAGCAUUUAUUAAUUAUUGCUGAAUGUUGUUUUGAUUAGGUUUCCUAUACUUCUUUUUUUUUCAUUUUUCUUUCUUUUUUUAUUUAAGUAUCAAUUUAAGAAAAUGUAUGAAUUUGAAGACAUCAUGUAUAUUGUAUAUACGUUUUUAAAUAUAGAGGAAUUAAUUUUGAUAGAAAUUUUGAAACACCUUGUAUACAUAUACGUCAUUCGGAUUAUUUUGAUAAUAUUUUAUCAAACCUUGGUCAAACUUCUGAAUGAGGUUUUGUCGUAAAUGUCGAGGUCGACCUGUUGCUGACAAUGGAUAAUUAACGAACUACGGAUCACUCUUUAAAAAGCAAUGGAGUAUAUAAAAGUGUUCAACUAUAUAUGUAUAUAUAAUAUUUGUAUUAGUAUUAGUAUAAGCAAAACUAUUAGAGCAUUUCUAAUACCGUAUCAUAUCUGUGUAUAUGUGUAUGUAAGUAUAACAUUUCUUACUAUUAUUAUAUUGUUACUAUUAUAUUUAUUAUACUACACUCUAUUAUUAUUUCUUAUUCUACUCUAAUAUUAAAUAUAUUACAUAAAUAUAGUAUUUCAGUGAGUUUUGUAAUACAAUGUUUUGUAUACAAUAAACAAUAUGUAAUACAAUAUUAAUAUUUCUAAUACUAUUUCUAAUACAAGUUUUUCAUAUAUAUAUAUAUUUGAGUAGUUUCUAUCAUACUACACGGGAUGUUCAAACAAUCCCAAUAACGAGUUACGUUACGAGAAACUCAUAAGCGAUCAUAAAACGAUCGUUCAAUUUUAAUAGUCUUCACAAACGUAACUAACAUAGAGAAACGAUGAAGUCAAACGUUGUUAUAGGAGGGUCACCGAGAAUGGUUGUUGAAUAUAUGUCGCUUAGAUAAUACAAAAAAAAAAGAAAAAGAAAAAGAAAGACAAAGAAAAAAGAAGCAAGUGAAAAUAAGAAAUGAAAUAAUGUCUCGUAACCAUGGGAUUCUCCAUGGUUCAGAGUAUUACCACAGUCUGCGGUUUGCCAUGACCGAUAACACACACAACACAAAUCGACAUUUUUCGGUUGUACGUAAGAUUAUUAUUGGUGUAUUUCUGUGUUUCGAUAUGAUAUAUGCCUACAUAUGCAUACGUAUGAGUAUAUAUGUAUAUAUAUACAUACGCAUAUAUAUAUAUAUAUACAUAUAUAUAUAUAUAUAUAUAUAUAUAUAUUAUAUUGAUAAACGGCUCAAGCAAUUCUAUGUACCAUGACAACGCAAUCUGGCAACCCUGUAGCAGGAGUACCAGCAGCAGCAGUAACAGCAGCAGCAGCAGCGGAGCGGCCAGCAGUGUUCUUGGGGUUGAAUUUCAAACGCCCGAGGGACAGAGGGGGUCCGGCCUCUCUCUUUUGUAUAAGGGGCACGAGGGCUCCGUCCGCCGAUGCUCUCUACAGCAUAACGGUGAGUCUCGGCGGCCAUAUUGCGGGGCUUAUGGCCGUCUGCCCGGUUCGGCCUGCUCGGUAAGCAGCAGCAGUAACAGCAGCAACAGCAGCAGCAGUGUCGGCUCAAGAGGAAAACCGAGUUCCCGUCCCCCACUUCCUUCACCCUUCCCUGCCACUCCACCCCCCCUUCUUCGUGGCCUUAUCCCUCUCCCCCACUGUCCCGCUCACGACCCCCCUCUUUGCCUUUCCUUUUCCUGCAGGCAAUUCUUUACCCGUAACUUUGGAAUCGGGUAUUCCCUGGCAAACCUCGAUUCUACUGUCGCAAGGACGUAUUUCUUUUAAAUAGGAUUGUCGUGAAUUUUCGCUAUUUUUAAUCUAUCGCAACAAAAUCGUUUUUAUAAUUCUUCUUUUGUUUGGUCUACUUAUUUUUUUUUGUUUUUUUCUGUUGUCUUGGCUUUUUCCCCCCAUUUUUUUUUUUUUUAAGAAAACCGAGAGAUAAAUAUUUUUUGUGUUUAUAAGUAUUUUUGUUAGAUUAUUUUAAUAUUCUGUGUUUUUCUUUUGUGAGAAGAUUUCGAUGACGAAUUUGUUUUAAAUAUAAUAUCAAAUAAUAUGUCAUUGCCAAGAACCACAUUACCUUUGCGCGUUAUUUUUUUUUUUAUCUAUAUUAUCAGUAAAGAUCAACAAUUUUUUUGUUUCUUGAAUUUUUAAGAAAAUUUGUAAGAUAAUAUUAUCUUUAAAUAUUUUUGCUGGAUUAUUUUGAUUCUUUAUUUUUUAUAUUUCACAGAGAUAUCGUUAACGAUCUCUGUAGAAAUAAGAAUUUGUUAAAAAAAAAAAAAGGAAAACGUCAUCCCUAAAAACCAAUUGAAAAACGAAAAGAUAAUAGA